UACGGGGGGGGCAAGCGUUGUUCGGAAUUACUGGGCGUAAAGGGCCAGUAGGCGGCCAACUAAGUCGGAUGUGAAAUCCCCAGGCUUAACCUCGGGAACUGCAUCCGAUACUGGAUGGCUUGAAUUCGGGAGAGGGAUGCAGAAUUCCAGGUGUAGCGGUGAAAUGCGUAGAUAUCUGGAGGAAUACCGGUGGCGAAGGCGGCAUCCUGGACCGACAUUGACGCUGAACGGCGAAAGCUAGGGGAGCAAACCGGG
rnacentral:rRNA from 1 species